AGCAUUCCGAGCUCUCUGAAGGAACACAGUGUACGGCUGUGCUUUGGCCCUGGGGCCCAUGGGCUGGGGAGGCAGAGGACCCGUCAUGUACUGCUAAGAGUCUACUGUGGGCAGACACUGCUGGGAAUCAGAACAUGGAAGAUGCCCCGUUCCUCUCAAGGAAGGCAGAGCUGCUGGGAGUUCCAGACAGAGGCAGGCAGAUAGACCUCUGUGAGGUUGAUGCCAGCUUGGUCUACAUAGCCACUUCUAGGCUAACACAGUGAGAUGCUGUCAUAGACAAAUUCCUUGGUGUGUCCAAGAUGUAAAGGGAGAGAGACAGCAGAGACAUCCUAAGUCAAACCUUUCCCUCAGCACUGCUCACUUCACACACAUUAGGAGAAUACUCACACCUACAAUACACAACUACACCUAAGGCUCGGGACAUUGCAAAGAGGAGGCAGAAAGAGUGUAAGAGCCAGGGGACCAGCAUUCUGUGAGGUUUUGUCUCCUAGUAACAUCAGAAGCUAUGCCUGUAAAGUCUUACCAGCAUCACUGCCUAAACAUGACCCGACGAAGGAUCAUAAUCAAUGGUUAUGUCAACUGAAUGGGAAAAAAAGCCCAAUGAGGCCUGAACCCUACACAAAAACUAUAGGCAACUGAGUGAAGCUGGAGCGAGAGGUGGCCCUCCCCAGGGAAAAGCACACCAACUUGUCAUCUAGUGUGGAAUGGUGACACAAGCAACCCUGUAUGGACUCAGCAGGCUGUAUUUAGAAAUAUAUAUGCAUGUAUAUACAGACACAUCUAUGCAUGCAAUAUCAACUGAUGAAAAAAGAGGCUAUGGCUUUGAAAGAGUAUGUGUGUGGAGGUAACUAGGAAGGCCUGGAAGGAGGAAAGGCAAGGGAGAAACAUUUUAACGAGAAUACAAGCUCAAAUCUAAACCCCAACCAAAAGAGUAAAAAGCAUGCUUGCUUGCAACCCCACAAGCUGCCAGCCAAUGCCACCACUCCUGUCCUCUGGCUCCCUGGCUACCUGCAGGUGGCACAGUGCCCCUAAACACCCACCUGGCCCAAGGCUAGCUCCUAUCAGAGUUAUACUCAGCAAGCACCUCUUAGUGACUUCCACUGUCACCAUCUCCUCACCACACUCCUCUUUGCUCCACUCAAUGCUACUAGCCAGGGUGAGUGUAGUUCGUUGGUUUGUGUUGCCCAUCUUCUUCAAGACAAAACGCUCCUGAGGGCAGGAAUUCUCAUGUUACUUCACUGCUAUAAUCCUCGGGUCCGGAAAAGCACUCAAUGCAUAACAGGCAUUCAAUAAGUGUUUGUGGACUUGU
rnacentral:lncRNA from 1 species